AUCAAAUCUAAACCGUCUGGAGUGUCUCUAGAGUUCUUCAGAUGGAGGACUGAUGUGGUGAUUGGAUCAAUUAAGCAAAGACACUUGAUGAUAAGAAAGCAACUUAUGCAACUCUUAUGCAAAGAGGAUUCUGUCUGGUGUGCCUGUUGGAAUACUUAGCUGCGUACCUGCCUGACCCACUCUCCCACACACUCUCUGGAAAUAAACAUGAACUUGAAGACUUGAAGUUGACCCUGUAUCAAAGAAGGAGGACGGA